AGAGUUUGAUCAUGGCUCAGGAUGAACGCUGGCGGCGUGCCUAACACAUGCAAGUCGAGCGAACCCUUCGGGGUGAGCGGCGGACGGGUGAGUAACGCGUGGGUAACCUGCCCUGUACACACGGAUAACAUACCGAAAGGUAUGCUAAUACGAGAUAAUAUAUUUUAAUCGCAUGGUUAAGAUAUCAAAGCUCCGGCGGUACAGGAUGGACCCGCGUCUGAUUAGCUAGUUGGUGAGGUAAUGGCUCACCAAGGCGACGAUCAGUAGCCGACCUGAGAGGGUGAUCGGCCACACUGGAACUGAGACACGGUCCAGACUCCUACGGGAGGCAGCAGUGGGGAAUAUUGCACAAUGGGCGAAAGCCUGAUGCAGCAACGCCGCGUGAGCGAUGAAGGCCUUCGGGUCGUAAAGCUCUGUCCUCAAGGAAGAUAAUGACGGUACUUGAGGAGGAAGCCCCGGCUAACUACGUGCCAGCAGCCGCGGUAAUACGUAGGGGGCUAGCGUUAUCCGGAAUUAUUGGGCGUAAAGGGUGCGUAGGCGGCCUUUUAAGUCAGAUGUGAAAGACCACAGCUUAACUGUGGGGUUGCAUUUGAAACUGGAAGGCUUGAGUAUCGGAGAGGGCAGUGGAAUUCCCGGUGUAGCGGUGAAAUGCGUAGAUAUCGGGAGGAACACCAGUGGCGAAGGCGACUGCCUGGACGAAAACUGACGCUGAGGCACGAAAGCUAGGGGAGCAAACAGGAUUAGAUACCCUGGUAGUCCUAGCUGUAAACGAUGGGUACUAGGUGUAGGGGUUUCGAUACCUCUGUGCCGCAGUUAACGCAGUAAGUACCCCGCCUGGGGAGUACGUGCGCAAGCAUGAAACUCAAAUGAAUUGACGG
rnacentral:rRNA from 1 species